rnacentral:rRNA from 1 species
GCGGGGGGGGCCGUCUAAACUGCAAGUCGAGCGGACAGAUGGGAGCUUGCUCCCUGAUGUUAGCGGCGGACGGGUGAGUAACACGUGGGUAACCUGCCUGUAAGACUGGGAUAACUCCGGGAAACCGGGGCUAAUACCGGAUGCUUGUUUGAACCGCAUGGUUCAAACAUAAAAGGUGGCUUCGGCUACCACUUACAGAUGGACCCGCGGCGCAUUAGCUAGUUGGUGAGGUAAUGGCUCACCAAGGCAACGAUGCGUAGCCGACCUGAGAGGGUGAUCGGCCACACUGGGACUGAGACACGGCCCAGACUCCUACGGGAGGCAGCAGUAGGGAAUCUUCCGCAAUGGACGAAAGUCUGACGGAGCAACGCCGCGUGAGUGAUGAAGGUUUUCGGAUCGUAAAGCUCUGUUGUUAGGGAAGAACAAGUACCGUUCGAAUAGGGCGGUACCUUGACGGUACCUAACCAGAAAGCCACGGCUAACUACGUGCCAGCAGCCGCGGUAAUACGUAGGUGGCAAGCGUUGUCCGGAAUUAUUGGGCGUAAAGGGCUCGCAGGCGGUUUCUUAAGUCUGAUGUGAAAGCCCCCGGCUCAACCGGGGAGGGUCAUUGGAAACUGGGGAACUUGAGUGCAGAAGAGGAGAGUGGAAUUCCACGUGUAGCGGUGAAAUGCGUAGAGAUGUGGAGGAACACCAGUGGCGAAGGCGACUCUCUGGUCUGUAACUGACGCUGAGGAGCGAAAGCGUGGGGAGCGAACAGGAUUAGAUACCCUGGUAGUCCACGCCGUAAACGAUGAGUGCUAAGUGUUAGGGGGUUUCCGCCCCUUAGUGCUGCAGCUAACGCAUUAAGCACUCCGCCUGGGGAGUACGGUCGCAAGACUGAAACUCAAGGAAUUGACGGGGGGCCCGCACAAGCGGCUGCAGCAUGUGGUUUAAUUCGAAGCAACGCGAAGAACCCUUACCAGGUCUUGACAUCCUCUGACAUCCUAGAGAUAGGACGUCCCCAUUCGGGGGGCAGAGGUGACACGGUGGGUGCCAUGGAUGUUCGUUCAGCUCGUGUCGUGGAAGAUGUUUCGGUUUAAAGUUCCCG